ensembl:snRNA U7 U7 small nuclear RNA
CAAUGUAACAGCUCUUUAAGAAUUUGUCUAGGAGAUUUUCUGGUCCUCACCAGAAGAGGCCUC